rnacentral:rRNA from 1 species
AUUGGGCGUAAAGAGCUCGUAGGCGGUUUGUCGCGUCUGCUGUGAAAUCCCGAGGCUCAACCUCGGGCCUGCAGUGGGUACGGGCAGACUAGAGUGCGGUAGGGGAGAUUGGAAUUCCUGGUGUAGCGGUGGAAUGCGCAGAUAUCAGGAGGAACACCGAUGGCGAAGGCAGAUCUCUGGGCCGUAACUGACGCUGAGGAGCGAAAGGGUGGGGAGCAAACAGGCUUAGAUACCCUGGUAGUCCACCCCGUAAACGUUGGGAACUAGUUGUGGGGUCCAUUCCACGGAUUCCGUGACGCAGCUAACGCAUUAAGUUCCCCGCCUGGGGAGUACGGCCGCAAGGCUAAAACUCAAAGGAAUUGACGGGGACCCGCACAAGCGGCGGAGCAUGCGGAUUAAUUCGAUGCAACUCGAAGAACCUUACCAAGGCUUGACAUAUACGAGAACGGGCCAGAAAUGGUCAACUCUUUGGACACUCGUAAACAGGUGGUGCAUGGUUGUCGUCAGCUCGUGUCGUGAGAUGUUGGGUUAAGUCCCGCAACGAGCGCAACCCUCGUUCUA